CCCCUCUAAGGGUAGCACUUGGAGAGUUUCCAGUACUCUACCAGUCUCGACUAUGGGAGGGAGAGUCAAGCAGAGGGAUAUCCAUUCCAUUCCUAGCUCGGGCAGUGGCUAGCGAGUGGAAGGCAAUCUGCUACGAGU
rnacentral:snoRNA from 1 species